AUUGGGUGCAAUAGCAUAUGCCUGUAGUCGCAGCUACUCUGGAGGCUGAGGUGGGAGGAUCACUUGAGCCCAGGAGCUCUGGGCUGUAGUGUGCUAUGCUGAUCAGAUGUCUGCACUAAGUUUGGCAUCAAUAUGGUGACCUCCUAGGAGUGGGGGACCACCAGGUUACCUAAGGAGGGGUGAACCAGCCCAGGUCAGAAAUGGAGCAGGUCAAAACUACUGUUCUGAUCAGUAGUGGGAUCGUCGUGGGAUUGCGCCUGUGAAUAGCCACUUGCACUUCAGCCUGGGCAACACAGGGAGACCCCGUCUCUU
ensembl:misc_RNA Metazoa_SRP Metazoan signal recognition particle RNA